rnacentral:rRNA from 1 species
UACAGAGGUCUCAAGCGUUGUUCGGAUUCAUUGGGCGUAAAGGGUGUGUAGGUGGCGCCGUAAGUCGGGUGUGAAGUCUCGGGGCUUAACUCCGAAACUGCAUUCGAUACUGCGGUGCUUGAGGACUGGAGAGGAGACUGGAAUUCAUGGUGUAGCAGUGAAAUGCGUAGAGAUCAUGAGGAAGACCAGUGGCGAAGGCGGGUCUCUGGACAGUUCCUGACACUGAGACACGAAGGCCAGGGGAGCAAACGGG